AUCCAGCAGACCUGAGGGGAAUCAGCUGGACUGAGGGUCUGACCUGGCCCCAGGAGGAAAGCCCCCAAUUAGACAUUAACUCCCCCAUUCCAGCCCCAUCAUGGCAGGCCUGGCACAGCCACAGUGAAUGUGCUAGACACUGGGCAAGUUGCAAAUUGAACCCAACUCACCUCGGUCUUGGGGCUUUGGGCAGAUCUGCUAGCAUCCUCACUGCCCUGACCUGCUUGCUUCAGUGGGACACACUCCAGGUCUCAGAUCCCACCUGAACACCCAUGUCCCUUUCAUGCCCAGGAAGGCCAGCUCAGAGGAAGGAUCUUCCAGAAACACAGCUUGUCCAAGACUGCUCUGCUGCAGCAGAGCCGAUUAGGGGUGUGCUGGUGCGAGAUAAGGCCGCAGGGUCAUUUGGAGGGCGGCCACGGAGAUCUGGGAGGCUGAAUCUCCCUUCCACCUGUUCUGCCUGCACCCUCCCAACCUGCCCCACUGGGACGGACAUAGAGCUGCCCUGAAGGCUUGCACCCUGCUAAGGGCAUCCCAAGGACAUCUGAAGUGAGUAUCUGGACAGUGAGCCAGGAGCCCAGCACAGUCCUUACGGGGCGCCACCUGAGGAUGAAAAUAGCUUGAAUGGUCUGUGCUCCACCCAGCACUUAGUCCAAAG
rnacentral:lncRNA from 1 species